CAGGAAAGGGAAAGCGAAAGCGGUGAGCGGUGUCGCUCGGAGCGGGGCCGCGGCCGGAGUGGGGCUGGGGGCGCGGACGGCCCCGGCAGGAUCCCGUUCUGUCAGUGCCCAAGAGCCAGGACUCACAGCAGAGCUCUUCCAAGAACUGCUCCCACAGGAAUGGGGUCGGGCCAGGAAAGCGCUGGGCUUUGUCCUGGGCACUAUCAGCGCUCAUCAAAACAACCACACGAUGGUGGUGUCGGCUCUCAGAAGAAGGAAACACACCCAGCCCAGCCCCAAAGCACUCCCCCAGGACACACUAAGUCAGAAAGAUCCCUGCUCUCAUAUCAGCUGUGUCAGGACAAAAACAUUUGGCUGAUCUUCCCCUGCCAAGUGCAUACUCUUCUUUGCACCACAUUCAAAGGGCAACACCACCUCCUUUACCCAGCAAAGCUCUUCACUCUCGAAGAGUGAAACUUCUAACAAACUUGAAAACAUCUGGUAAAAACAGAGCUCACACAAGUGCCAGCUGAAAAAGCUCUUGCUGCCUACAAUUUCACCUGCACUCAUCAAGCUAAUGGCACCCUGCUAUCAGCACUUUCCUUCUCAGCUCUAGGUACCAUCUUAAGCUUUCAAUCUCAGAGUCAGGAUCUAAAUGGAAUGGGACCACGGCUCACACACUAAAGCUAACAGGACAGAAAGCUCAACAUCUUGGUGUCUUCAUUCCCACUGACAGUUCAACAGCUCUAACCCAGACAACUGCAUAUUGGGAAAAGCCUUUAAAUUCCUUAGGCUCACCCAAAGUGUGCAUCCAAAUUUGCUUUCUUUGCCAAAGAGAGGAACUAGAAGCUCAUCUCAAGAGAAAUUAUGUCCUCUCCUCCAAAAUACAAAACUACCAGUGACUGAUCUCAUACAAAAGUGCCAGAACUCUGUUUACCUGCCUGGGGCACUAGAUCAGCUGCACACCAAGCCUCAGCAUAGCUGCUUACCUUGUCCAAAAGAAGUGUGUUGGCAGAAUUUCAAGAAGGUCAUCUGAGAAGUGAGAGCUACAUGCCAAAUUGAAUCGUUCAGGAGACCUUCCAAGGAUGGAUACCAUCUCCGUAAUUGUACACAUUGAGGCUGUGCUUUCACACCAAAUAUGCCAGGACAGAAGGUUGCUGCUGCUGCUGUUGACCUGCACAAUGCAGCUUCCUAUCUGCACCUCCAACACUUCGGUUACAUGCUUUCCUUCCCAUGAAAAAUCAUGGCCAUUCUCAUUCAGGAACUUAGCAAGCAGAAGUUGCAUACCAUUUCUCCAGUAUUGAAGAUGUCCAAUAAUGGCUCCUGCACAGAAGGGGCCAGGACAGAAAUGUCUUGCUGAACUGUACCUUCCCAUGGUACCUUGACAUCUGCCCUGCCAACACUGGCACUAUGUCCUUUGCUUCCCAAGGAAAGGCACUCCAAGUCACUUGGCUUUGCCUUGCCUCCAGUACCUUGCCUAGUUUUUCCUAGCCUACCCUGGCUUUGCUUGCCUUACCUACGUCAGUCUUGCCUCUCCCUACCAAGAGCUUCCUGGCUUUGCUUUGCCCUGCCUACCAGUCCUUGCCUCGCCUUCCAUGCAGGCAAGGCACUGCAAACCAAGUGUGGGCAAUUGUGGGCAAGCCAAGGUGCAGGUAGGCAAGGUCAGAGCAGUGAGGGGAAAGCAAAUGGAGUGGUGGGAGAGAGCAGGCCCAGAAGUUGUAGGCAAGGUUGGGCAUAGGAAGGUAAGCCCAGUGAAGGAUAAGGCAGGCAGGAACAGGAAGGGCAAGGCAAGGCCCUGGAGGAGGCAGGGUCAAGGGUGGGGCAUGGGCACGCAAGGGAAUACCAGGCCAGGGAGGGUUUGCAGGGUAAGGCAAGGAAGCUGUUGGGAUUGCCAAGGCAAGGCAAAUGAGAUGUGCCUUCAAGAACUGCUGGUGCAUGAAAACAGCCAGGCACAGAAUGCUCUGUAUGGCCUUGAUCCCACAUGGGCUUCUCUAAUCUGCACCUAAAGCUCUUGGGCCACCUGCUUUCCUGUGCAUGCAAAAGAACUGUCAUUCUGAUCCCAGAGCCCAAGGGCAAAGUCUGCAUUGCCUGUCCAAAAUUUAACACAUGCAAGCACUGAUCCCACACCAAAAAUGCCCAGAAAGGCAGAUCUGGCUGCAUGGGAUCUCCCCAUGGCUUCUUCUCACAUGCUUCUGAAACACUGUGGGAUCAGCCUUGGGAGUUCUCAGGGGAGCAGGCAGGGCAGAACAGGGCUGGGACAUGCCCGGAGAAAUGGGGUCUUGGAUUCCAGGUGAGGGAGGGAUGAGCAAAGAAACAGAAGGCAAGGCAGGGGUUCAAAGGCAAGACAAGACCAUCAGUGGCUUUGCAAGGAAACAAAGAGGUAGGCAAGGCAAUGAGUCUUAGAAGGAGAAGGAAAUGAAAGGGUUGACCUGGACAUAUGGGAAGGGAAGUCCGGUGGGGGAUGGGUGAGAAAGUCCAUACAAAACAGUGGAGGGAAGGAAGGCUUAGGGAAGGAGACAGACUGCACAGCAAGGCAGAGUAAAGGAAGGGACAGGAAAGGCAAGGAAAUGCAAACAAGGUGUAGGCCUGGAGGUAAUCCCUGGAGGAAAGCAGUAGGCAGGUCCAGGGUGGGGAAUGGGCAUGCAGGAGAAUGCAAAGCAAUGGAGAAGCAGCAGGGCAAGGCAAGGAAACUGCUGGGGUGCCAAGGCAAGGCAAGUGACGGGUACAUUCAAAGAUUGCUGGUACACAAAACCAUCUGGGACAGACUGAUCUCGCAUGGGCCAUCUCUAAUCUGCACUUAAAACACUUGGUCUGGCUGCUUUCCUAUGUGUGCAAAAGAACUGUCAUUCUGGUCUGGAGCCCAAGGGCAAAAUGUGAAUUUUGUGUCCAGAAUUCAAGACAUGCAAGGAUAGGUGCCAGAACAAAGCUGCCAGGACAGAGGGGUGUGCUUGCAUGUGACCUCCUCUGGGCUUCCUCUCACAGGCUCUUGAAACACUGGAGGUAUGUGAAGGCCUUGGGAGUCCUAGGAGGAGCAGGCAGGGAAAGGCACAAGAAAUUCCACAAAAAGAGGGUGUUGAAUUCCAGGUGGGGGACAGGUGAGCAAGUCAAUGCAAGGAACUGGAUUGGAAGGAAGGGCAAAGGAAGGAUAUGGAUGGGUCAGGAAAGUAAAGGAAAGGAAUGAUCAGGAAUGAUGAGGCAAUGCAAGGCUGGGUAGGAAAGGCAAGGCAAUGUAAAGGGAGAUGGGCAGUGUGGUGGGUGUCUUAGAGGAAAAGUCCAUGCACUGCAAGGCCAAGGGAAAAGGGGUAGAGAAGUCAUGGAGGGGGAGGGUGAGUGCAGCUGAGAAAGAAAGUGCAUAGCUCCAAUGUGUGUGUGUGACGUUUGAAGGAUGUGAAGGGAAGAAAGCUGUCAUUUGCAGAGUGAAUGGACAUUUUUGAACAUAAGGGGCAAUGUCCAAGCAGCCUUUCCCUCCUGGCACACCUGUGUGUGUGAGAUAUAGCCAGACACGGGUUCAGAGUCAGACUGCAAGCGGGACACAGGAUGUGACAGUUUGAAUAGCUGAGCUGGAAAGCACAGCAUGUUUCAGCAGAAGCAGUUUGUGCCAGAAGGAGAUGGACAUGUUGGACUCCAGCAAUAUGACAAUGCACUCAGCUGAGAGGCACAGUGCAAUGCCUCAGUGCGUGCUCUGAAAAUGAAGGGCUGCAAGGGAAAGGGAAGGGGACAGGUCGGUGAAAGCUUUGUGUCCUGGCACACGGAGCUGUUUGAGGGUGAGCUGCUGUUCUGUGUCACUGAGGACCCGGUGACACUGAGAGGAUGUGCCUGUUCAUGCUGCUGAGAAAGAAAGUCAGAAUCACCUGUAUGUGUGGCAGAGUUUGUAGGCUGCAAGGGGAAGGUGUAGGCUUUUGGCUGUGGCACUUGCUGCAAGGAAGCAGCUGUUGAUGCAUUUGAAAUUUGAUUUUUUAUGAAUUAGGAAAAUAUAUCUCCUAUUCCUAUAGGCACAAGUGCAUGAAUGUGUACAUUGUAUCCUAAUUAUCUGGUCUUCUGGGGCUGUUGGACUUUUUUAAGGAGGUUUGAAUCAGGGAUCAGUUCUCACGCCAGGCUUUGGGUCUUCACUUAACUUUCUGUGGGGCUCCAUAUAGAUUUAUUAUCCUAAAAAUAGAGUACUAUACCCUAGUCAGAUAUAAUCUAGAGAUUGUUUGGCUGCUGCACUGCAAAUUAAAUUAAGUGUGUUUAAAAGGAAUUUAAAUAAAACGUAUUUUGGAAAAGGAGAACACCUGUUUUAGUGUUUAAGUGUCCUCAAAGACGUUGGCAGGAGUAAUUUGUACAUGUAAAACAUUGGUUCACAUAUGCCAUUAUAACAUAUGCUCCUUUCAAGGAUAUAGUUCACUUGUGCUUUUCAAGCUGAAUGUUAUACUGGGAUACAGCAAAAGUCAAAUUUAAGAUACUAAACUGGAAGAAGAAACCCUAUUUUGUAGUGCAUAAAAUGCACCUCUGGAAUUUUCAGUUCUUCUCUUCUGCAGUGUCACAAAUACCUUUAUAAAAGGCAUUUAUAAAAGGUAUCAUGGCUAAUGAGCUAAAAAGAAACAACCCUAAGAAGAGAAAAAAAAACAAACCAAAAACCCUGUGGCUGUGGUAUGUUCAUUUCAUGUUUGUGGUUAGUAUUUCCCAGGCUACUUCAAGGUGAGGGUAAGUUCAGUCAUCACACUGUCUCUUGCCAGUCGGCUGAUGUUUCUAAAUUACUCUGAUAAAAGACUGUGAAAAAUGGAGCUGUGGUGAAUUGCAUCAUCCUUGUUGUGUGUGUUCAGAUGGGGACACAACACAGAACCCUCGUGUCCAGGUCACGCUCAGCACCCCUCGGUGGGGGCAGUCCCAUGGGCUCUUCUGUGAUUUACCCAAGUGUCCCUGCAUUUCCAGCUGUGCUGCUUUCCUCCUCUGCACUGCAAAUCUUGCAUCAGCUCAUGGUUGGGGAGACACCAGAUUUCUCUUUGAUGGAAGGUAAAAUGCUGCUCUGGGGAGAAGCCCCCAGACGCUGAGCACAGGACCCCCAGCAGCUCCCAGUGUUCAGUGAAUGGGAAUGAAUGGGAGAAGGGUUCUAGGCCAGGUUGGAUGAGGCUCUGGAUCAGCCUGCUCCAGUGGAAGGUGUCCCUGCCCGUGUUGGGAUUUGGAAUGAGGUGGUCUUUAAGGUCUGUUCCAGCCCAAAGCAUUCUGUGAUGCCUAUGAAGCAGCUGCUAGGUGAAAAUGUGAGUUAGAAAUUGGUCCUGAGGAAACACUUGCAAUAAAAGAGUGUCUCCAAACAUGUCUGUAAACAAAGUACAUCACCACAAGUUACUGUAGGAAGAAGUGGGGAAUACCUGCUUGGCAGAAUGUUAGAAAUUAAACCAAGCCCAGUCUCUGUGGGUAUAGCUGGGUUUGCUGGCUGUUGUGGUGCUGGAGUAUAUGUAAGUGGUUUAUUUAUAUGUAAAUAUGAGAAGGCAGGAAUAUAACCCUCCUGUGUAUUUGGCUAUUCUAAAAUAAACCCACACAACCACGUAUUUUGAGGGAGGUAAUGCAGAUGCUACAAUCAUAUCAAGCAGGAGUACCCCUGCUUUUUUCAUGAGAGGAAAAAUUCUCUCUUAAAUAAGAAGUGCCUCAAAAAUCAGUUGAUGAUGUUUCCAUCAGCCCCAUACCCUCGGCAAUCUGUGGUUUGGCUCCAACCUCCCACUUUCCCACCCAUUAUAAAGCAGGAGUGACUGUGCAUGAAAGGAGAUGCCUGGAUGUGAAACCAGCUGAGAAAUAUCCCAGUCACUUCUCUUUUCCCAUCACAUAUUGCUUCAGUUCCUGUUUCCUAAUACUGCUUCUUUCAUGGUCUCCAAGCCCUCUUCCUAGAUUCUUGUCAAAGAUUCCUGAACCUUGGACAAAGACACACCUGAGCUAUUUUAAAUCUUUGAGGUUCCUAUUGCAUCUUGUCUUCAAAAGGGUGUUUAUUAUCCUUUCUACAUCAUUUUCCCCUCUUUUAUGACUACAAGCAAUACAAGCUAGAGUAAGACAUUUGCACCAUGCUAUCUGUAGGGCUCUGGCCCCAGUUCUUAAAGGGCUUUUCCACCCUAAAUGAUGAUCCUGUGGAAGUGGUGGGUGUGUGGUACAUGGCUCCUGAAUACUCAGCCAGUCCCACAGCAGCCUGAUCACAAGCAACUGCCCAUAAAACCCCCACAGACUUCUGCAGCCAUAAUUUUCAGAGCUGUAAGGAAAAGGAAAUAGGAAGUAAAGCUGCUGUAAUGCAUUAUUGCAUGCUUCAGUGUGGUGCUGUUUACUUUGUGAAAGUUUUUUUUAUUUCUAUUUGCAUUUAAGUGUUGUAACCAGCAGCUGCAGCUCUUCAGCUGAGCUCAGCACUGGGGUUUUCCAUGGUGCAAUUGACCCAGGCGCACUGGGGCACUUCUCAGUGACUGCAUCCUGCCAUCAGCCAGGGCUCUGCAGUGAUGUUAUUUAGCACAGGGGGAAGGGAAAGGAGCCAAUAGAUCCAUUUAUCUGGAAGCAGGAGGCAGGAGCCUCCCAAGGGCAGCAGAGCCAGGCUGGGAGCUCGCAGCACAUCAGCUCCUCUCUGCAAAGCUCAGGGUGGCUCUGAUCCUGCGCUAAUGGAAGAAAUCGUGGUUAAUGAAGAACCCUGUGUGCCAUGGGGUGAACCUGAGGCUCUGAACAUCCAGAAACACUUUGAGGAGCUGGAAGAAAGGAACUCUGGUUGAAGCACAUGCGGGAGAAUGAAUGUCAGAAAUGUUGAAACUCUGCCCAGCUGGCAUGAUGUAAUCCCAGCAAGUGCUCUGAUCUGCAAGCUACAAUAAAUAUAUCCUGGGAUGGGCCGUUUACAGUUUCCUGGAAUUGGAAAGACCUAUCUCAAGACUCAAAAUUAUUCCAGUUUUUCCCAGUGAUAACACAGCAAUUUUUUUUUUAAUUAGACCAAACAAGACUGUGUGCUUGUUUUGGUGGGAAUAAAGGAAAUUGCAAAAACUUCA